rnacentral:rRNA from 1 species
AGUGAACGCUGGCGGUAGGCCUAACACAUGCAAGUCGAACGGCAGCACAGUAAGAGCUUGCUCUUACGGGUGGCGAGUGGCGGACGGGCGAGGAAUACAUCGGAAUCUACUUUUUCGUGGGGGAUAACGUAGGGAAACUUACGCUAAUACCGCAUACGACCUACGGGUGAAAGCAGUGGAUCUUCGGACCUUGCGCGAUUGAAUGAGCCGAUGUCGGAUUAGCUAGUUGGCGGGGUAAAGGCCCACCAAGGCGACGAUCCGUAGCUGGUCUGAGAGGAUGAUCAGCCACACUGGAACUGAGACACGGUCCAGACUCCUACGGGAGGCAGCAGUGGGGAAUAUUGGACAAUGGGCGCAGGCCUGAUCCAGCCAUACCGCGUGGGUGAAGAAGGCCUUCGGGUUGUAAAGCCCUUUUGUUGGGAAAGAAAAGCAGCAGGUUAAUACCCCGCUGUUCUGACGGUACCCAAAGAAUAAGCACCGGCUAACUUCGUG